ACGGGUGCGGAACACGUACGCAACCUUCCUUCGAGUGGGGGAUAGCCCGGGGAAACCCGGAUUAAUACCCCGUAAUAUUGUUGAGUGGCAUCACUUGGCAAUUAUAGCUCCGGCGCUUGAAGAUGGGCGUGCGUCUGAUUAGGUAGUUGGCGGGGUAACGGCCCACCAAGCCUUCGAUCAGUAACUGGUGUGAGAGCACGACCAGUCACACGGGCACUGAGACACGGGCCCGACUCCUACGGGAGGCAGCAGUAAGGAAUAUUGGUCAAUGGACGCAAGUCUGAACCAGCCAUGCCGCGUGGAGGAUGAAGGCCCUCUGGGUUGUAAACUUCUUUUAUCUGGGAAGAAACCUACGAUUUCUAUUGUAGCCGACGGUACCAGAUGAAUAAGCACCGGCUAACUCCGUGCCAGCAGCCGCGGUAAUACGGAGGGUGCAAGCGUUAUCCGGAUUCACUGGGUUUAAAGGGUGCGUAGGUGGGUUGGUAAGUCAGUGGUGAAAUCUCCGGGCUUAACUCGGAAACUGCCGUUGAUACUAUCAAUCUUGAAUAUCGCGUAGGUAAGCGGAAUAUGUCAUGUAGCG
rnacentral:rRNA from 1 species